rnacentral:rRNA from 1 species
AUUGAACGCUGGCGGCAUGCUUUACACAUGCAAGUCGAACGGUAACAGGGUGCUUGCACCGCCGACGAGUGGCGAACGGGUGAGUAAUGCGUCGGAACGUGCCGAGUAGUGGGGGAUAACGCAGCGAAAGUUGUGCUAAUACCGCAUACGUACUGAGGUAGAAAGUGGGGGACCUUCGGGCCUCACGCUAUUCGAGCGGCCGACGUCUGAUUAGCUAGUAGGUGAGGUAAAGGCUCACCUAGGCGACGAUCAGUAGCGGGUCUGAGAGGAUGAUCCGCCACACUGGGACUGAGACACGGCCCAGACUCCUACGGGAGGCGGCAGUGGGGAAUUUUGGACAAUGGGCGAAAGCCUGAUCCAGCCAUUCCGCGUGUCUGAAGAAGGCCUUCGGGUUGUAAAGGACUUUUGUCGGGGAGGAAAUCCCCAGCGUUAAUACCGCUGGGGGAUGACAGUACCUGAAGAAUAAGCACCGGCUAACUACGUGCCAGCCGCCGCAGUAA